rnacentral:rRNA from 1 species
GAUGAACGCUGGCGGCGUGCCUAAUACAUGCAAGUCGAGCGAACAGAUGAGGAGCUUGCUCCUCUGACGUUAGCGGCGGACGGGUGAGUAACACGUGGAUAACCUAUCUAUAAGACUGGGAUAACUUCGGGAAACCGGAGCUAAUACAGGAUAAUAUAUUGAACCGCAUGGUUCAAUAGUGAAAGACGGUUUUGCUGUCACUUCUAGAUGGAUCCGCGCCGCAUUAGCUAGUUGGUAAGGUAACGGCUUACCAAGGCAACGAUGCGUAGCCGACCUGAGAGGGUGAUCGGCCACACUGGAACUGAAACACGGUCCAGACUCCUACGGGAGGCAGCAGUAGGGAAUCUUCCGCAAUGGGCGAAAGCUUGACGGAGCAACGCCGCGUGAGUGAUGAAAGUCUUCGGAUCGUAAAACUCUGUUAUUAGGGAAGAACAAAUGUGUAAGUAACUAGGCACGUCUUGACGGUACCUAAUCAGAAAGCCACGGCUAACUACGUG